CUGCUGCCUUCCGUAGGAGUUUGGGCCGUGUCUCAGUCCCAAUGUGGCCGGCCACCCUCUCAGGUCGACUACUGAUCGUCGCCUUGGUAAGCCGUUACCCCACCAACUAGCUAAUCAGACGCAGACUCAUCUAAAAGCGGGAGCAUUGUUAAGAGGCCUCCUUUCCUAAACAGAAGAUGCCUUCCGUUUAGCUUAUCCGGUAUUAGCAGUCGUUUCCAACUGUUGUCCCAGUUCUUUAAGGUAGAUUAUCUACGCGUUACUCACCCG
rnacentral:rRNA from 1 species